UACGGGGGGGCAAGGCGUUGUUCGGAAUUACUGGGCGUAAAGGGCUCGUAGGUGGCCACUAAGUCAGACGUGAAAUCCCUCGGCUUAACCGGGGAACUGCGUCUAGAUACUGGAUGGCUUGAGUUUGGGAGAGGGAUGGCGGAAUUCAGGUGUAGCGGUGAAAUGCGUAGAUAUGCGGAGGAACACCGAUGGCGAAGGCCAGUCCCCUGGGCCUGUACUGACGCUCAUGCACGAAAGCGUGGGGAGCGAACAGG
rnacentral:rRNA from 1 species